UGGGACUUGAAUAUGCUGAAUAAAAUGUAGGUUUAAUUUAAUCCAAAGAAAAUGUCGACGUUUCAGAUCCAAAUUUGUCUGAUGAAAGCUUCAUGUUGGAUAUAAUGCCAAAAUAUCAGAACAUUGCAGUAUGCAAUGAUACCAUUUUAUUGGACAAACAUAAUAUUUCAAAGACAAGCUUUCAAGAGUUUUCCCCUCCUCCUUCCUCAGGAUAAGUCUUGAAAGGUUGUCUUAUAUUAUGUUAGCCCAAUAAAAAAGAU